rnacentral:rRNA from 1 species
UGGGGAAUUUUGGACAAUGGGGGCAACCCUGAUCCAGCCAUGCCGCGUGCGGGAAGAAGGCCUUCGGGUUGUAAACCGCUUUUGUCAGGGAAGAAAUCUUCCGAGCUAAUACCUUGGGAGGAUGACGGUACCUGAAGAAUAAGCACCGGCUAACUACGUGCCAGCAGCCGCGGUAAUACGUAGGGUGCAAGCGUUAAUCGGAAUUACUGGGCGUAAAGCGUGCGCAGGCGGUUGUGCAAGACAGGUGUGAAAUCCCCGGGCUUAACCUGGGAACUGCACUUGUGACUGUACGGCUGGAGUACGGCAGAGGGGGAUGGAAUUCCGCGUGUAGCAGUGAAAUGCGUAGAUAUGCGGAGGAACACCGAUGGCGAAGGCAGUCCCCUGGGCCUGUACUGACGCUCA